GCGGGCGGAAGUUGCCCGAAAAGGCGGGCGGAAGUGGCGCCGGAGCCAUCCGGCUGCGGCUCGUGGCCGAAUUGUGCGCGGCGGUGGGCGAUGCUGUGGUAAAAGUGAUGACUUUCGGCGGAAACGUGAGGAAAAAAAGGUCGAAUGUGGUGCAGAUUGUGGCGAUUAUUGGCUGAAAGAUGAGAGAAAGUGACGGCAGCCGUCUGUCGUCGUGGAAAUGGUGAUUGUCGUUGGGAAGUGUGAGGAAAAAGGGCGGGUAUGGUGAAAGGUUGUUGAUAAAAUGAGGAUUUUGAGGGGAAUCUGUGGGAAAAUGGGGCUUUUUUGUACGGUUUUGAGGAAUAAAUGGGGAUUUUUAGGGGAAAUGUGAAGGGAAAUUGCGGGUUUUGGUCAAAAGGGGAGGAAAAAAUGGGGACUUUGAGGUGAAAUGUGAGGAAAAUGGCAGUUUUUGGUCAAAAGGUCAGGAAAAGUUGGGGAUUUUGGGGGGAAGUGUGAGGAAAAAUGUGAAUUUUGGGUCUAAUUUUGGGGGGAAAAUGGGAUUUUUGGGGUGAAAUGUGAGGGAAAAUGGUGGUUUUUGGUCAAAAGUUGUGGAAAAAAUGGGAUUUUGGGGGUGAAAUGUGAGAAAAGUUGGGGUUUGGGGUCAAAUUUUGGGGGAAAAAUGGGAUUUUUGGGGUGAAUUGUGAGGAAAAAGUGGGGUUUGGGGUCAAAUUUGGGGGGAAAA
ensembl:lncRNA